AUUGAACGCUGGCGGCAUGCCUAACACAUGCAAGUCGAACGAGUGGCGGACGUGUGAGUAAUGCCUAGGAAUCUGCCUGGUAGUGGGGGAUACCGUCCGGAAACGGGCGCUAAUACCGCAUACUAUCAGAUGAGCCUAGGUCGGCUUAGCUAGUUGGUGGUGUAAAGGCCUACCAAGGCGACGAUCCGGAACUGGUCUGACAGGAUGAUCAGUCACACUGGAAGUGAGACACGGUCCAGACUCCUACGGGAGGCAGCAGUGGGGAAUAUUGGACAAUGGGCGAAAGCCUGAUCCAGCCAUGCCGCGUGUGUGAAGAAGGUCUUCGGAUUGUAAAGUACUUUCAGCGGGGAGGCGUUACCCGCAGAAGAAGCACCGGCUAACUCCGUGCCAGCCGCCGCGGUAAUAC
rnacentral:rRNA from 1 species